rnacentral:rRNA from 1 species
GACGAACGCUGGCGGCGUGCUUAACACAUGCAAGUCGAACGGGCCUGUCUUCUUUUUUGGGGGGUGGGUUGAGUGGCGAACGGGUGAGUAUCACGUGAGUAACCUGCCCUUCGGUCCUGGAUAACCGCUUGAAAGGGCGGCUAAUACGGGGUGGUCCGGUUGGUCCGCAUGGGCUGGUCGGGAUAGAUUCACUGUUUUUGGUGUUUCGGCGGGGGAUGGGCUCGCGGCCUAUCAGCUUGUUGGUGGGGUGAUGGCCUACCAAGGCGGUGACGGGUAGCCGGCCUGAGAGGGUGGGCGGCCACACUGGGACUGAGAUACGGCCCAGACUCCUGCGGGAGGCAGCAGUGGGGGGUAUUGCACAAUGGGCGGAAGCCUGAUGCAGCGACGUCGCGUGAGGGAUGGAGGCCUUCGGGGUGUGAACCUCCGUUUCCGGUGGUGAAGGCCCUGUCCGUGUGGUGGGGUUGACGGUAGCCGGGGAUGAAGCGCCGGCUAACUACGUG